rnacentral:miRNA from 1 species
GGAAUGGAUGGUUAGGAGAG